rnacentral:rRNA from 1 species
UAGCAUAUCAAUAAGCGGAGGAAAAGAAACCAACAGGGAUUGCCUCAGUAACGGCGAGUGAAGCGGCAACAGCUCAAAUUUGAAAUCUGGCUCCUUCGGGGUCCGAGUUGUAAUUUGCAGAGGAUGCGUCGGGUACGGGUCCCUACCGAGUUCCCUGGAACGGGACGCCAUAGAGGGUGAGAGCCCCGUCUGGUAGGAUACCCAGCCCAUGUGACGCUCCCUCGACGAGUCGAGUAGUUUGGGAAUGCUGCUCUAACGGGAGGUAUACUCCUUCCAAAGCUAAAUACCGGCUGGAGACCGAUAGCGCACAAGUAGAGUGAUCGAAAGAUGAAAAGCACUUUGAAAAGAGAGUCAAACAGCACGUGAAAUUGUUAAAAGGGAAGCACUCGCUACCAGACUUGGGUUCGGCGGUUCAACCGGGGCCACGCCCCGGGGCAUUCCGCCGGCUCAGGCCAGCAUCAGCUUUCCGUCGGGGGCAAAGACGUCGGGAAUGUGGCUCCCCUUCGGGGGAGUGUUAUAGCCCGGCGUGUCAUACCCUUCGGGGGGCUGAGGUACGCGCUUCUGCAAGGAUGCUGGCGUAAUGGUAGCUAGUGACCCGUCUUGAAACACGGACCAAGGAGUCAACCUUAUGUGCGAGUGCCCGGGCGUAAAACCCCAGCGCGGAAUGAAAGUGAACGUAGGUGAGAGCUUCGGCGCAUCACCGACCGAUCCUGAUGUCCUCGGACGGAUUUGAGUGAGAGCAUAUAGGGUUGGACCCGAAAGAAGAUGAACUAUGCGUGUGUAGGGUGAAGCCAGAGGAAACUCUGGUGGAGGCUCGCAGCGGUUCUGACGUGCAAAUCGAUCGUCAAACAUGCGCAUGGGGGCGAAAGACUAAUCGAAUCUUCUGGUAGCUGGUUUCCGCCG